AACGAACGCUGGCGGCAGGCUUAACACAUGCAAGUCGAACGGGCGUAGCAAUACGUCAGUGGCAGACGGGUGAGUAACACGUGGGAACCUUCCUAGGGGUACGGAACAACUCAGGGAAACUUGAGCUAAUACCGUAUACGUCCGUGAGGAGAAAGAUUUAUCGCCCUUAGACGGGCCCGCGUCGGAUUAGCUAGUUGGUGGGGUAACGGCCUACCAAGGCGACGAUCCGUAGCUGAUCUGAGAGGAUGAUCAGCCACACUGGGACUGAGACACGGCCCAGACUCCUACGGGAGGCAGCAGUGGGGAAUCUUGGACAAUGGGCGCAAGCCUGAUCCAGCCAUGCCGCGUGAGUGAAGAAGGCCUUCGGGUUGUAAAG
rnacentral:rRNA from 1 species